GAAAUGCGAUACGUAUUGUGAAUUGCAGAUUUUCGUGAAUCAUCGAAUCUUUGAACGCACAUUGCACCCUCUGGUAUUCCAGAGGGUAUGCCUGUUUGAGCGUCAUUUCUCUCUCAAACCUUCGGGUUUGGUAUUGAGUGAUACUCUGUCAAGGGUUAACUUGAAAUAUUGACUUAGCAAGAGUGUACUAAUAAGCAGUCUUUCUGAAAUAAUGUAUUAGGUUCUUCCAACUCGUUAUAUCAGCUAGGCAGGUUUAGAAGUAUUUUAGGCUCGGCUUAACAACAAUAAACUAAAAGUUGACCUCAAAUCAGUAGA
rnacentral:rRNA from 1 species